CGCGCGAAGGGGAGGAAGCUGUUCUACGGAAUGUCAUUCUGGAGGCAGGACAGGGAGGCCCGUGAGUCCCCAGUCAGGGCUGUGUUGUCGUGGCAACCACAGACUCAUCCUCUCUGGGAUGCUCGACCCCUGUUUUAGAAAGAAGGUAAAAACCUCAGUGGUUCACCUGGUACACAUAAAGGCUGGAGGGAAGAAAUGAUGGAAGCCAAUAAGGAAAAGAAGACGCUCAUGGAAAGAAAAAAUGUCUAGCCAGGAGGCUCUCUGGCCGGCUGUGUGGCCUUGAGUAGGUAAAGUGGCUUUUCUGAGCUUCAGUUUUCUCAUGUAGAAAACAACACUGUUCAUACCUGUCCUAUAGGACUGUAAUUAGGAUUAUUGAGAGGGAGGAAUCUUUUUGGUUCCUGGCCUUUACCGCUCACCUCCCUUCUGGGGUGGAGUCACCUUGAAGCUCACUUUGCCUAUUCUUAGCUGAUUCCUCCUCUCAUUUCCUUCCUAUUCUUCCUCUUUACCAUACUCCCUCCUUCCCUUCUAUCAACGGGACUUCCCCGGCUCUGUAAUUCACUCUAAGCGAUUUGAGCCUUUGGCUUAAGCUUAGCUUCUCUGCACUUUCAGUGAGAAGCCACAAACCAAGGGAGCUUGGUGGGGGCAGCCUAGCUGUUGUGGUUGUGCUGAUUGGGGGGGGGUUUCAAACUCAGUUUUCCAUCCCGGUUCUGUAACAAACAAACCACAUGAUGUUGGGCAAGUGACUUAUGCUCUUGAGGUUCUGCUCUUGUCGCAAGAAAUUAAAAGGGUGGGAUUAAAUCAAGAUUUCUUAAUGGAAAUACCUGACAUAUCCUUUGUAACCUCUGGAUGUACACACCAGCCCAGAAGAUUUUGCCCAGGUUUACUUUCUAAAGUAUUGCCCCCCUACAUCUGCCAAAGAGGACGUUUAUUUUAGAUUCUCAAGAUGUAGAAUGGAUACCAUGAUAAUAUGCUUUGAUCCAAUGCUCUUCCAAACCACAUUUCCACUCCCUGUUCUGGCAGGUCCCUCGGGGCCCUUUCUAGCUCCCUGUAUGAGCAGUAUUGUCACAUAAAGGGACAACUCUGCAGCCAGGCAUCCCAAACCCCAAUCCUGUCUCUGUCACGUAGCCACCUAGAAAACCUUAGAAAAGACACUGAAGAACUCCGGGCAGUUUACUCAUCUGAACACCAGCAUCACAGUUAAUCAAAGUAACUUCUUCAUAGUGUAUUGAAAAGACCAAAAGAUGAUACAUGACAUGAGUUGGAAACAAUGUCCCUCAGAGAAGGCUCCUCCGACCUCCGUAUUUAAAACCGCAGUCGCCUCCACUCCCUGUAGCCCUUCGCUGCUUCAUUGUUGUUUCCUCCGUAGGACUUAUCGCCACUCGACAUACUGUAUAUUUCACUUAUUAUUGCUCCUCCCCCCACUGGAGUGUAAGUUACACAAGAGCAGAGUUCGCUGCUGUUGUCACUGUAGUUGUUUUCCCGCUGCAUUUACGACGGGUACCAUGGUGUCCGACACACAAUAAGCUCUAAAUAAAUCUGUGUUGGUUGAAUGAAUGAAUGAAUGAAUGCCCAGCCCGUGGUAAGCACUCAGUAAAUACCUGCUGUUACUGUCAUGUCUGAAUUAUUCUCUAUCAUGAAAAAAUAUUCUUUCCGUUUUCUACUUUUCAUAGUUGCUUUAUUGUCUCCCGACUCCAUUGGCUCAAUGUUUAUCUCUGUAAAUGUUGCCCUCUUGUAGCUCAGGUGCACGAAAUUAGAGCAAUCGUCAUGACUGAUCCACGUAACACCCUCUUUCUUUUAUUUUAUUCCCUCCUAAGAAUAAAGUAAAAAAUGAUUUUGUACAUAAUUUGUUUUUCAAAAGUGAUGGUGUGCUACCCUGCAACCACAUAUUAAUGAGAAGAAAAAAGGCUGAUCCAGACUUGAAAAUUAAAAUUAAUUAUUGUAAUAUUUCCCCUUUCUAAAUAGUAAAAAGCUUUGAUUGUACGAGAAAUACCUAUGCUAAUGGAUGGGGUUUUUUUCUUGAACAACUUUGGAAAAUGGAUUUGACAGUACAUAAUCAGUUCUACUAACCAAAGCUUUAUUUGGAAAUUUACUUUUUGUACAAAUUGAAUUAUAUAAUGCUUGAAAUACUUUAAGUCACUUUAUAAGCAAAAUGUAUAUCACUUAAUUUGUAAAGUAUACUGUAAAGUAUAUGUUAAAUGCUUUUAUCAAUUUGAGAAUAAAAAGUUACUAAUGC